rnacentral:rRNA from 1 species
UACAGAGGGCCCGAGCGUUGUUCGGAUUCAUUGGGCGUAAAGGGUGCGUAGGCGGCGGGGCAAGUCUGAUGUGAAAUCCCGGGGCUCAACCCCGGAACUGCAUUGGAUACUGCCCUGCUAGAGUACUGGAGAGGGAACUGGAAUUUACGGUGUAGCAGUGAAAUGCGUAGAGAUCGUAAGGAAGGCCAGUGGCGAAGGCGAGUUCCUGGACAGUGACUGACGCUGAGGCACGAAGGCCAGGGGAGCAAACGGG